UUUUAAUGAUGAUGUGUCAAAAUUGGGUAAUUUACGUCUGAAAAUUACUGAUGAUAACUGCUAUCUGAAAAAA
rnacentral:snoRNA from 1 species